ACCGAUGCUAAUACCGGAUGCCCCGAGAGGUAAAAGAUUUAUCGCCUAGGGAUGAACUCCCGUCUGAUUAGCUAGUUGGUGGGGUAAAGGCCUACCAAGGCGACGAUCAGUAGCUGGUCUGAGAGGAUGAUCAGCCACACUGGGACUGAGACACGGCCCAGACUCCUACGGGAGGCAGCAGUGGGGAAUUUUCCGCAAUGGGGGCAAACCCUGACGGAGCAACGCCGCGUGCGGGAGGACGGUUUGUGGACUGUAAACCGCUUUUAAUAGGGAAGAAGUACUGACGGUACCUAUUGAAUCAGCAUCGGCUAACUCCGUGCCAGCAGCCGCGGUAAUACGGAGGAUGCAAGCGUUAUCCGGAAUUAUUGGGCGUAAAGGGUCCGCAGGUGGCUUAUCAAGUUAGCUGUUAAAGGCCGGGGCUUAACUCCGGACGAGCAGUUAAAACUGGUAGGCUAGAGUACGGUAGGGGUAGAGGGAAUUCCUAGUGUAGCGGUGAAAUGCGUAGAUAUUAGGAA
rnacentral:rRNA from 1 species